UACGUAGGGUGAAAGCGUUAAUCGGAAUUACUGGGCGUAAAGCGUGCGCAGGCGGUUUUGUAAGGCUGACGGGAAAGCCCCGGGCUUAACCUGGGAAUUGCGUUGGAGACUGCAAGGCUUGAAUCUGGCAGAGGGGGGUAGAAUUCCACGUGUAGCAGUGAAAUGCGUAGAGAUGUGGAGGAACACCGAUGGCGAAGGCAGCCCCCUGGGUCAAGAUUGACGCUCAUGCACGAAAGCGUGGGGAGCAAACAGG
rnacentral:rRNA from 1 species